AAUGUAUGCAUAUCUCUUACUGUGUAGAAGUAAAAGAAACUUUUGAGGUUGAUACAAAACCUUUCUUAGUUUGUGAAAACAAGGUUUUGAGUCAUGACCA